GAUGACAACAGAGACGCCCUGGCAGGCUCUCCUCAGGCACUGGGCAUCCAGAAUGUCUCCCUUCAGCACUGUCACCUUGGCUUUUGUCUGCAGCUCUGAGGAACACAAUGCAGGUCAUUGGGAAGCUUUCUGAACAGAGUUCCAAUGAAGAGGACCCAGAAGAGGGAGACAUGAAGAUGGAAAAUUCAGCCCUGCCCCUGACAGGUCUUGAUACUUUCUGAGUCUGGGCUGAGCACAAAUGAAGAGUGAGCUAAAUUACAAAGAGGAAACUGAAGCCCCAGUGAGAGAACUCUGAAUGGGCUCCUAUGAUGGGUUUAGGUGAGCAUUUCUUAUUGGAUAGAUACAAUGUAAAUGAGGCCACCUCCAAGGAACCGUAUUACAUCCAGGGGAAAUGGAUAGAUAGCUUUAGGUUCAAUUUACAGGAUGAUACCAAAAUCACAAUAUCACCCAAAUUAGUUCACAAAAUUGAUGGUGUGGCACAUGCAGCCUGUAUCUAUACCCCACACUGGCUUGAGCUUCAUAAUUUACACAUGACUUUCUCAGUUUGCCAUCUCCUUUCCCAGCUAUCUCAUGAAGUUAGGAUUCUAGUGUCCUUGAUGUAGGUUGGGGAAAUUGCAGAAAGCGCUAGGACACACAUCUUUCUAGUAAAGGCUCUAUUGUCCCUCUGCCUCAAUCUAUUUAUGCCCACUUCUCUAUGCACUCUGUGAGCAAGACUCAUUUGAAAUCAACUCUUUUGAGACAUCAUGUCAACUAAAUUUGAAAUGAAUGCCAAAGAAUACUUUGAUAGAAGCAGAAGUAGAAACCCAGAGCUGGAAAAAUCUUUCUUGAGACCAAUUACAACCUCUCCUGAAUGUGUCUACUGUAACCCCUUCUCUCCCCUGUCAGGGAACCCCAAGAAGGCCUUAAAGUAGAGGAUGAUGGGGAAAAGCCUUCUGGGAAGGAAGCAAGUACCAGGAUGUGAGUCUCUUCCUGUGUGAUUUCUCCUCCACUCUUCUUAGCAGCUGACUUUAGACAGACAGGGUCAGAAAACUUGCUGUGACAGGGCAGGAGGAGCCCAGAUGCAGGACCAAGUAGACUCACACAUCUGUUCUUGGGGGGUGUGGGGAGUCCUGAGAUACCAGGAGGUGACAUCUUGAGUGCUUUGUGGUAGAACCACAUCUCUCAGCUUAGCCAAGACACCAUGGACUUUGCAAUUGUUCUUCACUGCCGCAUCGUAGAGCUGAUGCUCUGGUGUGAGCUGCAGUAGGAGAAGCUACCACAAUCCAGCCUUUAAAAGGACAGAGGCUACCACCAGACAUCCUAGACCCCUAACCUACUUUGUCUUCUUUUAACUGCAGGAUCUAUAGGCAGUCAGUAAACACUGUUGCACCCAAAGUCCAAUGCCUCCAAAGACCAUCAAGAGACCAACCUGAAUACAAAAGCAAAGAGUCUUUUAAAUUCACGAGUUCAAACCCAGAUCCCUUUUACAACCAUCACAGCAGUGGAGUGACAGUGACCUUAAGCAGUAUCAGGAUAGGAAUUUUAUAGUGGUUAGGGUGGGAGGUCUAGGGGAAUUCCAACUCUGUAGAGUCACAAACUCAGGAGUGGUGCCUACUCCAGGUUGGAGAUGCUUGGUUUGAACAGAUUGGAGUGUUGCAGCUGCAAGGAAAUUGCCAUAUUCUCUAGCAGUUUAUGUCAUGCGACUAUAUCAUUUGCAGACCCACUUUCUCUGACAAUGAGACAUUCCAUUUCUUAUCUGCAGGAAACUUGCGACCCUCUGACAGCUAUGGUAUAUAAUCUGUCAUAUCCUUUAGGUUAUGGUAGGGAAUGUCUGGAAAUCGUUUUUUAUGUGGCUUUUAAUUGUCUUGGUCAAGGGGCAGCACAUCAUCUGAUGAGUUUCCCAGGGCCUGCAGCCCCCAGCCUAAACUUCUGGUGGGUUUCCCAGGGCUUGCUGGUCCCUGUCUGACCCUUCUCUGAGAUGGCUGCAACCCUGUCAUCCUCUCAAACAUCUGUGUAGUCCCCUUGUGUAUAGAGUCAGAAGACAAAAUUUCCUUUGUUUGGGGGGGGGAUCUCAUGUGGGUGGAGAAAUAAAGAGUUUUCACCAUUAAGAUGUCUCUGACACAAUAGGACACCAGGAUUCUCUCCUCUUACUGAGAGGAGGGUGAUUCAGUUGAGAAAAAAAUGCCUCCAUUUGAUGCCCUCCUGUAGGGCAUUUUCAUCUUUAGUGAUUCAUGUGGAAGGGCACAGCCCAUUGUGGGUGGUGCCAUCCCUAUGUUGUAUAAGAAAGUAGGCUGAUCAAGCCAUGAGAGCAAACCAGUGAACCAUACCAUUUCAUGGCCCCUGCAUCAGUUUCUGGUUCCAAGUUCCUUCCCUGUUUAAGUCCCUAUCCUGACUUCCUUUGGUUGAUGAAGAGUGAUAUGGAAACAUAAACCAAACAAAUAUUUUCCUCCCCAAGUUGUUUUUACUCAUGGUGCAUCCUCACAUCAAUAGUAAUCAUUACUAAGAUUCUUUAGGUUAUUUAUUUCUUUGUUUGCUUGUUUGGAGACAAGGUGUCUUGGUUAUUUGUAAGGAAGUUAACAUAGUAAAAAAAAUGAGGCAGAAAUUUAAGGUUUAUGUAUUUUAGCAUUUUGUUGUAUGUAACAAAUGGAAACAACUGAGUAUGGAAGGGGAGUGUGACAUGUUUUAUAAGGGUUUAUGAGGAUAUAUAUAAAAUAGGAAAAUGUGUCCAAAGAAGGCAGAGGUAGUUUUUUGGAUUUUUUAUUUUCUUUUUUUUGUUUGAUUAUUUGUUUCUCUAAAUAUAAUGAUGGUCCUAAAUUACAAAAGAGAGAUAAAACACAGAAUGAAGGAAACAGUUGGACUAGUAGUGAAUGGAAGUAGAAGCUGCAAAAGGAUUUCAGAAAGGCAUAGAACUUCUUGUAGGAGGCACAGAGGUCCUCAUGCCCACAGAUGAGCACUAGGGGAACCUGGAAUGCUAGCACACAUAGUUGUUCCUUCAAGGGAAGGAAUGCAUAACCAGUUGUCUGUCCAGAAAGCUGGGAGCAGAUGUGCUUUCUAGUCUAGUCAACUUUGCAUAGUCUGUGUGUUUGAAAAUCAAACUCAGUCCUACCCAGACCCAUAUCAUAGGUUGAUUUUCCCAAUCUAUAGAACCCAUCUCUAUGGAAGGCAUCCCAUGUAUUUUAUGAAAGAGUUUCCAUGUGAUCAUGUCUGAUAUGUAUUUAGCUUACUUUGUUCCUUAAAGUUUAUGUAUGUAUGUUUUAUUGUGCACAUGGGAUUGAGUUACUUAUCACCAGGAAAAUAUUUGCAAAAUUGUGCUGUGCUUAAAUACACCAAAAUUAAACCAUUCAGUGUCAGACUCCAGAAACUGAAAUGAACACAAGCUAUUUAGAGGUAUUGAACUGCCUUCUUGCCUCCCAGGAACUGUUACCUAUUAGCAUUGGUGCUCAAAAAGACCCCUGAAACUUCUGGGACAGAUGCACAUGAGAUCAAAUAGACAAUGAACAGAUAUCAAGGAAUAUUAGCACCUGAAUAAUCUUUCAUUCUCCAUGUUCACAUUGGGAAGUUUUCCCUAUAAACAAAAAGCAUAGGGUUCAAUAAUCAAUAAAGGGAAGAGCAAAACCAACAGGGGGUUCUUGCAUCUGAUCUUAAUAGAGAACUGUGGCCCAUCCCACACCUUUUUGGUGCAGGUUGGCCAUCAAUAUUCUGACAUCUCCUGGGUCCAUAAUUGUUUUGGUGAUUUUUUGUGUGUUUUUUUGUAAUUUUUACCAAAUACUUUAGCAUUUUAUAUAAUUUACAAAUUAAAAUGUAAUGUCUUUGAUUUACUACUGACUUUGAGAUUUCAGGAGGUCUUGAAAUUCCAAGGGACCUAUAUGUUAGACCUAUAUUUUCAAAUAAGCAUUUAUAUAUGUCCCAAAGUAUUAUAAGAUCUCCAAAAAUCUGACAUUUUUGAACAUAUGUUUUGUUAUCAGUAUUCUUAUAAUAUAACAUUACUACAUGCUUAAAACAUAAACAUAUUAGUUAUUUUCUAAUUCCUUUAGGGAAAAAAUGGAAUUGAAAUAAUAAUGUUGUUCUGCCUCAAAACUUUUAAA